rnacentral:lncRNA from 1 species
AGAUUUCCAAAUCUGAGGAUCUGGGAGGAACACAAAGAGUCUACACUAGCUCUCUCAUUCCAUGAAUCUGAGGGCAGAAGAGUUCUGAUGGCCAAGAAGCUGGCCUGGCCUACCCUGGGGUUUGAAACACAGGGGCCUCUCUCCUCUUGCUGCAGUGGUGGCCGCCGUGACAUCAUCCCGCGAUGUGUAACCCGAGAGGCAUGCUGAGAAGCGCAGGGACUGACUGAUCACUGCGCUGGUGUCCUCACUGGAGGCGAAGGGCCAGGCCUGAGGCGACAGCUGGUUGUGUCUCUCCCAGGCGAUUAGGGCCAGGAGCUGCAUCUCCAUUCCAAAGGGCGGAGCUGGGCAAGAAUGCGAAAUCCACCUUCACUCCACCUGGUGAGUGCCAGCUCAGGCUCCAGCGGCAGCAGCGGAGCCCCAAACCAGGCGCGGUAGCUCCAUUGGGCAGAGCUGGCCGCCCCAGCAGCAGCCAGGAGGGGCCGGGACCCUGCUGAAGCCAUUAAAGCCGCGAACUUCGGAGGCCACGGGAACAACACCACGGCAUGGAGCCGGGAGAGAGGAGACGGGUCAGGCCCCCCUGGCCGAGGCCGUUAAAAAGUAAACGCAGCCCCCAAAUCACAUUAAAUAUGUUAAGCAAACACA